rnacentral:rRNA from 1 species
GCGUUGUUCGGAUUCAUUGGGCGUAAAGGGUGCGUAGGUGGCGUCGUCAGUGGGGUGUGAAAUCUCGGGGCUUAACUCCGAAACUGCAUUCCAUACUGCGGUGCUUGAGGACUGGAGAGGAGACUGGAAUUUACAGUGUAGCAGUGAAAUGCGUAGAGAUCGUAAGGAAGACCAGUGGCGAAGGCGACUCUCUGGACAGUUCCUGACACUGAGGCACGAAGGCCAG